CCUUCAAAAUCAAGUCCCUUUCUAUUACAUCUAGGGGCUUGGAAAAAAUAGGGUUCUAAAAUAAGAAAAUUGAAAGAGGAGAUUAGAGAGAAUAGAAUUAUUUCUUCCUUGGAGAUGGAAAAUGAAGUUUCAGAUGCAGGAAGUAGUGCAUCAUUCGCACUUCUUGGACAGAUUGGAACCUAAGUAGAAGGUUUAUGUGAUGAGUUGAGAAGUGUGAGGCAGACUACUGGGUGCAAUUUCGUCGAAUGGGUUUAUCCCGCCAUUUGCAAUAGAUCGAAGCAGAUAAUUUCUAGUUUGCUUAGAAAAAAAACUUAUUGGAAGAUCAAUUAAGGAGGCGACAGAGAAGAGAGAAAUGGUUAUGGUGUAGUCUUGUUAUUUUUGUUGUUGUAAUCUUCUUGAAGUGAGAGUGACAGUAGUAGUUGUAGCUAUGCGUAUGUUAUGUUUGACGAAAUGCUUCAAUGAAUUUGAACUGGAGGUUGGACUUGUUUUUCAAUAGGGCUUACUUUUAUUUUUUGGGUAA